ACAUCGCCUCUUGAAUACUUAUAAGAGGUCCUGCCUGCCCAGUGACUCUGUUCAACGGCCGCGGUAUCCUAACCGUGCGAAGGUAGCGUAAUCACUUGUUCUUUAAAUGAGGACUAGUAUGAAUGGCACCACGAAGGUUAUACUGUCUCCUUUUUCUAAUCAGUGAAACUAAUCUUCCCGUGAAGAAGCGGGAAUUAAACUAUAAGACGAGAAGACCCUAUGGAGCUUUAAACAAUAUAGCAUUUGUCAUAGAAUAAACAAUUUCUGAAUAUUAAUCAUUAGGCAAUAUGACUUUAAGUUUUUGGUUGGGGUGACCAUGGAGCAUAAUUUAACCUCCAUGCUGAAAGAAACUUUUUCUAAGCUAAGAACUACGCAUCUAAGCAUCAAUAAAUUGACAUCUAUUGACCCAAUAUAUUUGAACAACGAACCAAGUUACCCUAGGGAUAACAGCGCAAUCCACUUCAAGAGCUCCUAUCGACAAGUGGGUUUACGACCUCGAUGUUGGAUCAGGGUAUCCCAGUGGUGCAGCCGCUACUAAAGGUUCGUUUGUUCAACGAUUAAAACCCUACGUGAUU
rnacentral:rRNA from 1 species